rnacentral:rRNA from 1 species
UACGGGGGGGGCAAGCGUUGUUCGGAAUUACUGGGCGUAAAGGGCGCGUAGGCGGCCUACUAAGUCGGACGUGAAAUCCCUCGGCUCAACCGGGGAACUGCGUCCGAUACUGGUGGGCUCGAAUCCGGGAGAGGGAUGUGGAAUUCCAGGUGUAGCGGUGAAAUGCGUAGAUAUCAGGCAGAACACCUGGGGCGAAGGCGGCCAGCUGGGCCGUCCCUGACGCUGAGGCGCGAAGGCGUGGGGAGCGAACGGG